GGCGAGUGAAGCGGCAACAGCUCAAAUUUGAAAUCUGGCCUCUUUGGGGUCCGAGUUGUAAUUUGCAGAGGGCGCUUUGGUGUCGGCAGCGGUCCAAGUUCCUUGGAACAGGACGUCACAGAGGGUGAGAAUCCCGUACGUGGUCGCUAGCCUUCACCGUGUAAAGCCCCUUCGACGAGUCGAGUUGUUUGGGAAUGCAGCUCUAAAUGGGAGGUAAAUUUCUUCUAAAGCUAAAUACUGGCCAGAGACCGAUAGCGCACAAGUAGAGUGAUCGAAAGAUGAAAAGCACUUUGGAAAGAGAGUCAAACAGCACGUGAAAUUGUUGAAAGGGAAGCGCUUGCAGCCAGACUUGCCUGUAGUUGCUCAUCCGGACUUUUGUCCGGUGCACUCUUCUAUAGGCAGGCCAGCAUCAGUUUGGGCGGUUGGAUAAAGGUCUCUGUCAUGUACCUCUCUUCGGGGAGGACUUAUAGGGGAGACGACAUGCAACCAGCCCCGACUGAGGUCCGCGCAUUUAUGCUAGGAUGCUGGCGUAAUGGCUGUAAGCGGCCCGUCUUGAAACACGGACCAAGGAGUCUAACAUCUAUGCGAGUGUUUGGGUGUCAAGCCCGAGCGCGCAAUGAAAGUGAACGGAGGUGGGAACCCCUCGGGGCGCACCAUCGACCGAUCCUGAUGUCUUCGGAUGGAUUUGAGUAAGAGCAUAGCUGUUGGGACCCGAAAGAUGGUGAACUAUGCUUGAAUAGGGUGAAGCCAGAGGAAACUCUGGUGGAGGCUCGCAGCGGUUCUGACGUGCAAAUCGAUCGUCAAA
rnacentral:rRNA from 1 species